rnacentral:tRNA from 1 species
UCUGGUUUAACAUAUUUUUGUCUUGAGUCGCCUUUCAUAGUACCAAAAUUU